GACGAACGCUGGCGGCGUGCUUAACACAUGCAAGUCGAACGGAAAGGCCCUGCUUUUGUCUGGUUCUCGAGUGGCGAACGGGUGAGUAACACGUGAGUAACCUGCCCUUUACUUUGGGAUAACUUCAGGCAACUGGGGCUAAUACCUGAUAGGAGCUCCUGCUGCAUGGUGGGGGUUGGAAAGUUUCGGCGGUUGGGGAUGGACUCGGGGCUUAUCAGCUUGUUGGUGGGGUAGUGGCUUACCAAGGCUUUGACGGGUAGCCUGCAUGAGAGGGUGAACGGGGACAUUGGGACUGAGAGACGGCGCAGACUCGUACGGGAGGCAGUAGUGGGGAAUAUUGCACAAUGGGCGGAAGUGUGAGGCAGAAACGCCGGGAGCGGGAUGACGGCCUUGGGGGUGUGAACCGCUUUAGCCUGUGACGAAGCGUGAGUGACGGUAAUGGGUAAAGAAGCACCGGCUAACUACGUG
rnacentral:rRNA from 1 species